GUGCUCAAAAAGGGCCGGUGUGCCGCAGUGAGUGCCAGUUUGAAUGAAGGAAGCAUGCGUGGCCUGAAGCCUCACCGUGUUCCAGGCGUCCAGUUAAGUGCUCUGCACAUAAUAUCACACAUUGCGCUCCACGAUAAGAACAAAUUCUCACAUGGGAACCGAGCAAAGUGUAAUGGAUGUUCCCAGGAGCUGCCUAUGGGAUUCAAGAAAACUGUAUGAGAGGAGUAACAUUUGGGCUGGAAGCGAAAAUACAAGUAAACAUAUGUCAAAUGGGUAGCAUGGGCUCAGCUCAGCACAGCUGCUUGGGAAGCCAGAGUAAUGAAGGUCCCACCAUCCUGAGGCUGCUCCAAAGGCAACGUGUGUUUUUCCUGGGCACAGCAUUACAACAUAGGGUCUGGAAAGCAAUCCUCCACAGAAAGAAAGCAGAAUCUUCUGGGCAUUUCUGAGCAAGUGGACUUCCUUCAGCUGAGCACAGUCCUCAGGAGAAGCGGACAGGUGCAAAGUGUUGGAAGCCAACACUCACAGCAGUUGGGGGUUGGAGUGCUCUGGCUUCCAACAGCAUUGAAACCAACAGCAUUGACUACAGCGAGUUUCUCAAUCUUCAGAACACAUCCCAGCCUCCCUGGGGGCUGCUAAUGCACAGAUUGCCGUUUCCCACUCCAAGAGUUUCUGAUUCCAGAGGUCUGGGGUAGGGCUCGAUAAUUUGUUCUUCUAACCACCUAAUGCUGUUGGUCCAGUGACCACACUUUGAGAAAUGCUGUACUAUGUUUUCUCAUAUAUUUAAAAAUUCUCACCUCAUUUAUGGUUUAAAACUUCUAGAACAAUUCUGAAUAGUUUUUGUAAUAGUGAGCCUCACUUUCCUGUCUCUGCCCUUAAUGGGAAUGUCUCUAAUGAUUCACCUUUCAUACGGGGACUUGUUGUGGUUUACUGGGCAAUUCCUUUUGGCAGGUUAAAAAAAUUCCCUCUGUUUCAAGCUAAAGCCAUUUACCAGGAAGAGACGCUAAGUUUUAUCAGAGGGUUUUUCCAGUAACUAUUGUGAUAAUCAUGGUUUUUUUUCCUAUUUAUUACGAUAUCAAACAUGAAACUUAUUUGAAGUCCUGGAUUAAACGGUGCUUGUUUUCUAUAAUGUUUUGUUCCUUAAAUGUACUGACAAAUUUAAUUUAUUAUUUUUUUAGGAUUUGAGGUACAAGUUCAUACGUGAUAAUGACUUACUGUUUUGUUUUCAUUAUUUCCUCCUUCCAUCCUUUCUUGAUAUCCUUUUUAUCUCUUGGUUUCAAAAUUACACUAGCGUCAUAGAAUGAGUUGGAAAUUAGCCCAUUAUUCUCCAUGCCAUGGAGUGUUUUGCAAAACAUAAGAAUGAUCAGUUCCUUACAUAUUUGGUAGAAUUUACCUUAUAAAACACAGUAGGUUUUGUGUCUCUUCUGGAGUCCAGAUACUGCUAUGGACUGAAUGUUUGUACCCUCUAAGAUUCAUUAGGUUGAAAUCCUAGCCUCAAAGUGGUGGUAUUAGGAGGUGGGACUUUUGGGAGGUGAUCAGGCCAAGAGGGUGGAGCCCUCAUGAAUGGGAUUAGUGCCCUUAUCAAAUAAGGCAAAAGGAGCUCUUUAACCUCUCCCACCAUGUGAGGACAAAGUGAAAAGACACCAUCUAUGAACCAGGAAGCAGGGCCUCACCGGAUGCCAAACCUGCCAGCACCUGGCCCUUGGACUUCCAGCCACCAGAACUGUGAAGAAGAAAUUUCUAUUGCUUAUAAAUACCCAGUUUACGGCAUUCUGUUAUAGAAGUGCCUAAUAGGCUAAGGCAAAUACUAUAUGGUAUUUAGGAUUGCUUCUGUAUAUUUUUAAGACUUUUUUAUUUUGGAAUAAUAAUAAUUCACAGAAAAUUUACAGAGAAAGUCUCCACAUGCCCCUCACCCCACUUCCCCUAAUGUUAACAUAACCGUGGUCCAUUUGUCAAAACUAAGAAAUGAGGAUUGGUACCAUACUAUUGACUGAAUUACAGACAUUACUUGGAUUUUGUCAAUUGUUUUACUAAUAUUCUAUUAUUUCUGUGUCAGAUUCCAAUCUGGAUAACAUGUUGCAUUUGUUCAUCACGUCUCCUUUGUUUUUCCUGGGCUGUGACAGUUUCUUAUUCUUUUCUUGUAUUGCCUGGCUUUGAAUUUUGAGGAAUUCUGGUUAAGUAUUUUGUAAACUGUCACUAAAUUUUGCUUGUCAGAUGUUUUCUCCUGGGUUAGACUGGGCUUACAGGUUUUGGGGAAGAACUCUACAAAAGGGAAAUGUCUUUCUCAUCUCAUCUAAUAAAUGGAUAUAGGAUAUC
rnacentral:lncRNA from 1 species